GAUGAACGCUGGCGGUAUGCUUAACACAUGCAAGUCGAACGGACUCUUCGGAGUUAGUGGCGGACGGGUGAGUAACGCGUGAGAAUCUGGCUUUGGGUUCGGGACAACCACUGGAAACGGUGGCUAAUACCGGAUGUGCCGAGAGGUAAAAGAGAAAUUGCCUGAAGAUGAGCUCGCGUCUGAUUAGCUAGUUGGUGAGGUAAAGGCUCACCAAGGCAGCGAUCAGUAGCUGGUCUGAGAGGAUGACCAGCCACACUGGGACUGAGACACGGCCCAGACUCCUACGGGAGGCAGCAGUGGGGAAUUUUCCGCAAUGGGCGAAAGCCUGACGGAGCAAUACCGCGUGAGGGAGGAAGGCUCUUGGGGUGUAAACCUCUUUUCUUAGGGAAGAACAAAAUGACGGUACCUAAGGAAUCAGCAUCGGCUAACUCCGUG
rnacentral:rRNA from 1 species